rnacentral:rRNA from 1 species
GACGAACGCUGGCGGCGUGCUUAAAAACAUGCAAGUCGAACGGACUUCUCAUGAAGCUUGCGAUUGAGAAGUUAGUGGCGGACGGGUGAGUAACGCGUGGGCAACCUGCCCCUGAGCCCGGGGAUAACAGUUCGAAAGGACUGCUAAGACCGGAUAUACUUGCGGUGAAGCAUUUCACUGCAAGGAAAGGGAACGCUCAGGGAUGGGCCCGCGUCCCAUUAGCUAGUUGGUGAGGUAACGGCCCACCAAGGCGACGAUGGGUAGCCGGCCUGAGAGGGUGAACGGCCACACUGGGACUGAGACACGGCCCAGACUCCUACGGGAGGCAGCAGUUGGGAAUCUUCGGCAAUGGGCGCAAGCCUGACCGAGCAACGCCGCGUGAGUGAUGAAGGUUUUCGGAUUGUAAAGCUCUGUCUUCCGGGACGAUAAUGACGGUACCGGAGGAGGAAGCCACGGCUAACUACGUG